CACAUCUAGCUGAGGCUAGCAUCAAAAAUAGAAAACAGCUUACACAUUUUGGAAAAAGAGACUUGAAAACAGAAAAAAAAGGGAAACAAAACAGAAUAAGAAAAUGUUAAAGUAAUAUUAAGCAAAAAGUGCGCAUUUCUUUUCGCUUGUUAGUUUCUUGUUUAUAUUUUUAUUUUAUUAACGGAGCUCUCAUAAUCAUAGACGGCGAUUGCUGAAGCUCUCAACCUGACGACGAACCCGUUUCUCCACUCCCAUGCGAAAGACUUGACAUGAGCAACACAACACGGAUGAAUCCUAAACAGAACUCAAGAAAUAAGAAUAAUGGAUGUGUAUUACACUGGUAUGUGAAAACUUUUAUGAGGAAAUCCAAAAUUCUGGUGCUGAUCAUAAAUCUUGGAAGCCUCGCGCAGAUAACCAAAUAAAAAUAAUUUAAAUAUCGAUAAGACUUGCUGCAUACAUAAAUUGUUAUCUAUUUUAGUUAAAUGUUCAAAAUUGUAGAGUUAAAAAAAAAAUCAAAGAAGUAAAA